AUGGUGACAAUGAAAUUACCAUCAAUUGUAAAAUUGGAACGAUACAGAGAAGAUUAGCAUGGCCCCUGCGCAAGGAUGACACGCAAAUUUGUGAAGUGUUCCAUAUUUUA